UUCUACCUAUGAUGAGUUGCGAACUUUAUUGCCUACAUUGUUUGACCAAUCCUAUGAGAAACUGAUGCAACAUCUGAGGACUCA